rnacentral:lncRNA from 1 species
UCAUUGUUGGAGUUGAAAUUAGUAGAAUAUGUCCUAAACUACUAGGAUAUAAUUUUUUAUAUUAUAUUUAGGGCUCCAACUAGGACACUGUUGGACUUGCUCUUAUGCAAAGUACAGUAAAACCUUGAUUAAUUAAUAAUCCGUGAUAAAUUAAUAUUUGAACUAAGGUUUUUUUCCCCAAAAAUAAUAGUGACAGUAUAUAUUUAACCUCAAUUAUUUAAUAAUCUCGAUAAAUUGAUAAAAUUUAGCAAUCCAGACGUAUUAAUUGAUAGAGGUCUUACUGUACUAGAGAAAAGACACAAGAAAAUGUAGUUCUUCUGUCUUAGUACAACCUUUAUUCGUGUUUAUUUUGUCUUCCCCCUUUCCCCAUCUUAUUGAACUAUAUGUCUCUUGUUUACUUUUUUGUAUCUAUACUAUAUACACACUACUUUUCACAGAACAGAGCAUCAACUCGACCUUGAUUUGGACUUGAUAAAAGAUAUUCCCAAAACGUGAUAUGAACAUAAUUUAUCAUACCUGUAAUUCAUAGUUCACAACAUUUUGUUCAGCUCAAUCCUGUGGAGAGUGGAGGUCAUCAAAAAGCCCAUCGAGCUGAGAGGAAAGAGGUGGAGAAGUUUCAUGAAACACAUUUGAUUUCACAUCAUAAGCAACUAUUUCUUCUACCAAUGUCAGGUUUUCAAGGUAUGGUUUUCCACCUCAAACACAAAAAACUGUGACAGCCUUCUGCAACAUUCAGAAAUAUAUACGGUUAAAAUACUAAUGGCAGCCAGCAGAAACCAAAGUCCUUUUAAUUACUUAAUUUAAAUCUACAUACAAUUGGAUUGAAUAAUGGGAUACAAUAUUCAUCAGUAUGAAUCACAAAGACCGAAACAUAUCUAAUGAGUAAUGCCGCAGAAGCUAAUGCCUGAAACAAAGACAAUGAAAGUAAUGACUAAUAUGAUUUCACAUCAUAAGCAACUAUUUCUUCUACCAAUGUCAGGUUUUCAAGGUAUGGUUUUCCACCUCAAACACAAAAAACUGUGACAGCCUUCU